UGAGGGAAUAUUGGGACAAUGGAGGCAACUCUGAUCCAGCCAUGCCGCGUGAAGGACUAAGGCCCUAUGGGUCGUAAACUUCUUUUGACGCAGAGCAAUAAGGAUUACGUGUAGUCUGAUGAGAGUAUGCGUCGAAUAAGCAUCGGCUAACUCCGUGCCAGCAGCCGCGGUAAUACGGAGGAUGCGAGCGUUAUCCGGAUUUAUUGGGUUUAAAAGGGUGCGCAGGCGGACUCGUCAAGUCAGCGGUAAAAAUUCGGGGCUCAACCCCGUCCUGCCGUUGAAACUGCGAGACUGGAGUGCGACAGAGGAAGGCGGAAUGCGAGGUGUAGCGGUGAAAUGCAUAGAUAUCGCGCAGAAC
rnacentral:rRNA from 1 species